AUUGAACGCUGGCGGCAGGCCUAACACAUGCAAGUCGAACGAGUGGCGGACGGGUGAGUAAUGUCUGGGAAACUGCUCGAUGGAGGGGGAUAACUACUGGAAACGGUAGCUAAUACCGCAUACCAUCGGAUGUGCCCAGAGGGGAUUAGCUUGUAGGUGGGGUAACGGCUCACCAAGGCGACGAUCCCUAGCUGGUCUGAGAGGAUGACCCGCCAAACUGGAACUGAGACACGGUCCAGACUCCUACGGGGUGCAGCAGUGGGGAAUAUUGCACAAGGGGCGCAAGCCUGAUGCAGCCAUGCCGCGUGUAUGAAGAGGGCCUUCGGGUUGUAAAGUACUUUCAGCGGGGAGGCGUUACCCGCAGAAGAAGCACCGGCUAACUCCGUGCCAGCAGCCGCGGUAAUUC
rnacentral:rRNA from 1 species